rnacentral:rRNA from 1 species
ACACUCCUGCGGGAGGCAGCAGUGGGGAAUUUUGGACAAUGGGCGAAAGCCUGAUCCAGCAAUGCCGCGUGAGUGAAGAAGGCCUUCGGGUUGUAAAGCUCUUUUGUCAGGGAAGAAACGGUGAAAGCUAAUAUCUUUUGCUAAUGACGGUACCUGAAGAAUAAGCACCGGCUAACUACGUGCCAGCAGCCGCGGUAAUACGUAGGGUGCAAGCGUUAAUCGGAAUUACUGGGCGUAAAGCGUGCGCAGGCGGUUUUGUAAGUCUGAUGUGAAAUCCCCGGGCUCAACCUGGGAAUUGCAUUGGAGACUGCAAGGCUAGAAUCUGGCAGAGGGGGGUAGAAUGCAACGUGUAGCAGUGAAAUGCGUAGAUAUGUGGAGGAACACAGAUGGCGAAGGCAGCCCCCUGGGUCAAGAUUGACGCUCAUGCACGAAAGCGUGGGGAGCAAACAGGAUUAGAUACCCGGGUAGUCCCA